AUUGAACGCCGGCGGCAUGCUUUACACAUGCAAGUCGAACGGUAACAGGCCGCAAGGUGCUGACGAGUGGCGAACGGGUGAGUAAUGCAUCGGAACGUGCCCAGUCGUGGGGGAUAACUACUCGAAAGAGUAGCUAAUACCGCAUACGAUCUAUGGAUGAAAGCGGGGGACCGUAAGGCCUCGCGCGAUUGGAGCGGCCGAUGUCAGAUUAGGUAGUUGGUGGGGUAAAGGCUCACCAAGCCAACGAUCUGUAGCUGGUCUGAGAGGACAACCAGCCACACUGGGACUGAGACACGGCCCAGACUCCUACGGGAGGCAGCAGUGGGGAAUUUUGGACAAUGGGCGCAAGCCUGAUCCAGCAAUGCCGCGUGCAGGAAGAAGGCCUUCGGGUUGUAAACUGCUUUUGUACGGAACGAAACGGCUCUGGUUAAUACCCGGGGCUAAUGACGGUACCGUAAGAAUAAGCACCGGCUAACUACGUG
rnacentral:rRNA from 1 species